GAGUUUGAUCAUGGCUCAGAACGAACGCUGGCGGCAGGCUUAACACAUGCAAGUCGAACGAUGUCUUCGGACAUAGUGGCAGACGGGUGAGUAACGCGUGGGAAUCUACCCAGUCCUUCGGGAUAACAGUUGGAAACGACUGCUAAUACCGGAUACGCCCUUUUGGGGAAAGAUUUAUCGGGAUUGGAUGAGCCCGCGUAAGAUUAGCUAGAUGGUGGGGUAACGGCCUACCAUGGCGACGAUCUUUAGCUGGUCUGAGAGGAUGAUCAGCCACACUGGGACUGAGACACGGCCCAGACUCCUACGGGAGGCAGCAGUGGGGAAUAUUGGACAAUGGGGGCAACCCUGAUCCAGCCAUGCCGCGUGAGUGAUGAAGGCCUUAGGGUUGUAAAGCUCUUUCACCGGUGAAGAUAAUGACGGUAACCGGAGAAGAAGCCCCGGCUAACUUCGUGCCAGCAGCCGCCGCCGUAAC
rnacentral:rRNA from 1 species